ACCCGAGUGGCUCAGUCGGUUGGGCAUCCGACUUCAGCUCAGGUCCCCAUCUCAUGGUUCGUGGGUUCGAGCCCCGCGUCGGGCU
rnacentral:tRNA from 1 species